rnacentral:rRNA from 1 species
GAUGAACGCUGGCGGCGUGCCUAAUACAUGCAAGUAGAACGCUGAAGGAAGGAGCUUGCUCUUUCCGGAUGAGUUGCGAACGGGUGAGUAACGCGUAGGUAACCUGCCUGGUAGCGGGGGAUAACUAUUGGAAACGAUAGCUAAUACCGCAUAACAGUAGAUGUUGCAUGAUAUCUACUUAAAAGGUGCAAUUGCACCACUACCAGAGGGACCUGCGUUGUAUUAGCUAGUUGGUGAGGUAACGGCUCACCAAGGCGACGAUACAUAGCCGACCUGAGAGGGUGAUCGGCCACCCUGGGACUGAGACACGGCCCAGACUCCUUCGGGAGGCAGCCGUAGGGAAUCUUCGGCAAUGGACGGAAGUCUGACCGAGCAACGCCGCGUGAGUGAAGAAGGUUUUCGAAUCGUAAAGCUCUGUUGUAAGAGAAGAACGAGUGUGAGAGUGGAAAGUUCACACUGUGACGUUAUCUUAACAGAAAGGGACGGCUAACUACGUG